rnacentral:lncRNA from 1 species
UGGGAGGAAACAACGGGCUUGCCAAUUGAGCCUACGGAGUAUAUCUCUAGACACGUAUCUCGUCACCUACAAUCUCAACACCUGCCAUAUGACACGGCAGGCCCAAACAGGCUAAGUACCACCAAAGGAUACCCAGUAAAUCUCAUAGGCUACCUCUUAAAAAGGCAGAACGAGACCUUCUGGAAAAAAAAUCAUAAUGUGAAAUGAAGUGAUUUCACAGAAUAUCAUAUCAACAAAAUAUAUAAACAGGAAAUGAGUUAAAACCUAAAACUAUAAGUUGAUAACUCCAAUUUCCUAUCAACAAAAUCUAUAAACAAGAAAUGAGCUGAAAACUGAAACUAUAAGCUGAUAACUUAAAACAUUAAAACUGAGUCUAUAAUUGAUAACUGAAACUUAAGGUGAAAACUAAGUAUUUUUAAUAAAAUAACAUUUAUGAAAAAUAGUUACACAUUAUGGCCCUACGUAAGUUAGAUCCAGCAACACGCACGGGGGAGUGUCGGCCAAUCUCCCCAACAAACAAUAGCCCAUACGAGCGUGGGGUAGCUAACCCUGGCGUCGUGGCACUCACGCAAGGGGAGGUCGGCUAGCUCUCCCUUUUUGAAUGUGAUCACAUUAAUGCAUGAAUGAAUACUAAAUUAAAUAAAAAUAUCAUAACAAAGUCAACUAAUAAUUAAUAAUAUAUGUAAGCAUAUAAGACUUUCAUAUUUUCAUACUACCAAAUAAGAAUAGAGUAAACUGAAUACGGGAGCACAAGGAGACAUAGCUUAGGAUUUUUUUUUUUAAUAUAUAUAUAUAUAGAGCACGUGGGUUCUAGUAGAAUUUCCUAUGAGGAGAAAAAACUUUAAAACUUACCUUGAAUCCAAACUUAAAGAUCUGAUGCAAGAAUUUCAAUACUAAACCAUUGUAGUCCACCACCAAUACUUGAUUGUUAAUACGCCUCGACCUCGCGAUUUGUUUCUACCUCAAGGAUUGUUGGGAUUUUCGUUGUUGACUUGUAAGCUAUCCAAAUCCCAAUAACUUGCCAUCUCAUUCCUACCAAAAGUGAAAGACAAUGAUGUAUAUGUCUUCCCCUAUGCUUCAUGUUUUGAGAAUAACUUACAGUAAAGCUAUUUUGUUGUCCUUAUUUGGUAAUCCUUAAGUGGCUGCUAAAACCCUAUUUCUUUUCGUUUUAAUUUCGUGACCUGGCUGCUGCAUUU